UACGUAGGGGGCAAGCGUUGUCCGGAUUUAUUGGGCGUAAAGAGCGUGUAGGCGGCUAGAUAGGUCCGUUGUGAAAACUCGAGGCUCAACCUCGAGACGUCGAUGGAAACCAUCUGGCUAGAGUCCGGAAGAGGAGAGUGGAAUUCCUGGUGUAGCGGUGAAAUGCGCAGAUAUCAGGAAGAACACCUGUGGCGCAAGCGGCCACCUGGCCAAGAGCUGACGCUGAGGCGCGAAGGCGUGGGGAGCGAACGGG
rnacentral:rRNA from 1 species